rnacentral:rRNA from 1 species
CCUACGGGAGGCAGCAGUGGGGAAUAUUGGACAAUGGGCGAAAGCCUGAUCCAGCCAUGCCGCGUGUGUGAAGAAGGCCUUCGGGUUGUAAAGCACUUUCAGUGGGGAAGAAAGCCUUGGGGCUAAUACCCUCGAGGAAGGACAUCACCCACAGAAGAAGCACCGGCUAACUCCGUGCCAGCAGCCGCGGUAAUACGGAGGGUGCGAGCGUUAAUCGGAAUUACUUGGCGUAAAGCGCGCGUAGGCGGUCUGAUAAGCCGGUUGUGAAAGCCCCGGGCUCAACCUGGGAACGGCAUCCGGAACUGUCAGGCUAGAGUGCAGGAGAGGAAGGUAGAAUUCCCGGUGUAGCGGUGAAAUGCGUAGAGCUCGGGAGGAAUACCAGUGGCGAAGGCGGCCUUCUGGACUGACACUGACGCUGAGGUGCGAAAGCGUGGGUAGCAAACAGGAUUAGAUACCCCUGUAGUC